rnacentral:rRNA from 1 species
UACGUAGGGGGCAAGCGUUGUCCGGAUUUAUUGGGCGUAAAGAGCGUGUAGGCGGCCAUGUAGGUCCGUUGUGAAAACUCGAGGCUCAACCUCGAGACGCCGAUGGAAACCAUGUGGCUAGAGUCCGGAAGAGGAGAGUGGAAUCCCUGGUGUAGCGGUGAAAUGCGCAGAUAUCAGGAAGAACACCCGUGGCUAAGGCGGCUCUCUAGUACGGUACUGACGCUGAGACGCGAAAGCGUGGGGAGCGAACAGG